GAGCUCACUCUGACAGCAUGUAUAGUAAAAUUAGAAUGAUACAGAGUAGAUAACUGUGACCCCUGGGCAAGGAUGACGCACACAAAAUAUCUUUGUGAUGUAGAUAUUU